ensembl:snoRNA SNORD10 small nucleolar RNA, C/D box 10
GCUCUAUGAUGAUUCCCCAUGCGUGUCAUCUGAGUGCAGUUUCCCUGUUCUCCCAGGUGUUUGAGCGUGUUUUGCCCUCAAGUUUCUGGGCUGGCAGAGGUCUCUGUGCACAUGAUCAUACUUUAAUUCUGAGAGC